rnacentral:tRNA from 1 species
GUACCUGUGGCUCAGUUGGUAGAGCGUGGUGUGUGCAACGCCAGGGUUGUGGGUUCAAUUCCCAUGGGGGGCC